ensembl:lncRNA
AAAUUGUUAUCAUUAUUCAUUCUUCUCUGGGUUCAGAAGGACACAGGCUUGCAUCUGAUCGGCUUUCUCUGACCCAAGUCAUAGGCUAUUGAUCCCAGCUACAGUCUCAACUGUAAAAAUGCUGAUCUGGAUUCAGAGAUUAGGCAAACAGAGGUUAAACAGCUUGCUCAAGGUCACACAGCUAGCAAGUAUCUGAAGCCUGUUUUUGAACUCAGAUCUUCCUGACUCCUGGUCUGGUGCUUUAUCCACUGAGUCACCUAGCUGCUACAGUGAUGCCUUGUCAUGGCAUCCUGGAUUUAGAGUUGGCAGUGGCCUUAAGAUCACCUGGUCUGGUCCUAUCAUUUUAUAGAUGAGGAAAAUGAAGCAACUUGUCUAAAGUCUCAGUCACACUCCAUUUUUGGAUCAGACUCAAAGGGACUUGAGCAUCCUUGUCAGUGUCUCUCCUACCUCUUUGGCCUCACAGAUCCUCCUGGAGUCCUUUGGUUGCCAUCUUACUACCUGUUCAUCACUCAUCACAAAGGUUCUGGUUAUUAUCACACAGACUUGGAAAUACACUCAAUCUGGAAUCAGAUAAUCUCCUGAUCUAAAGUAGCUGACCUGAGGCUUCAUGACAGGAAGUAAACGUUUCAAUGAAGAUCUGCUAAACAAAACUCAGCAAUCAAGGUCCAAAACAUUGGAAAUCAAAGUCAGGAAGGAAGAGUGGGGCUGAAGUAUCAAGCAAAUGAGAGUCACCAGACAUAUAGGCAAAGUCAAGAGAGUCAUUGAAUAAUUAUCAGAACUGCAAUUCUGGUGAUCAGAAUCACAAUUUAGAACAAAGGUCAAGGAACGAAAGAAAAAAAAUAAUGAGCCUACUUUACCAAGUUCUAGACAUGGAGACCUUGAAUUGGAGCUUAAAGGACAAGUAGUGAGUCCCAGCUUGUCUGGAGGCCUUCAAGCAGAAGCUGAAUUAACCCUUACUGAACAUGCUAUAGUGGGGGAAACUUUUAGGAUAGGAUUUGGACUAAAUGGACAUUAAGAUCUUUUCCAACUUGGAAAAUCUAUGAGUCUAUAAGAACAAGAAGGUAGAAUAUUAUUAUUAUAAUUUUUUUUAAACCUUUACCUUCCAUCUUGGAAUCAUUACUGUGUAUUAUUUUGUAUAUUGUGUAUUCACAGUAUAUUACUGUGUAUUAGUUCCAAGGCAGAAGAGUGGUAAGGACUAGGCAAUGGGGGUUAAGUGACUUGUCCAGGGUCACACAGCUGGGAAGUGUCUGAAGCCAGAUUUAAAUUUAGGACCUCCCAUCUCUAGGCUUGACUCUCAAUCCACUGAGCUACCCAGCUUCCCCAUGGUAGAAUAUUAUUAAGAUCUGACUUGCUCCUUAACUUGGCUUCCUUCCCCUUUCAUUCUUGGCCAAGGAAAUGGUCUUUGUAAAUAAGCAUACCUGUCUAUUCCUAUUGUUGAGACCUUACCCCCUUAGGCCCAGAGAAUUGCUUAGAAUUUUCUUCAAAGAGAAGGAGACAGACUGAGAGCCUGUUGGAUUAAAACUUUUUUGGUUAGUUCAGCCUUCAGAUACACCUUAUUUCUGUGAUCCUUAAAGAACGGGCA